UCCCGGAUAGUGUAACGGUAACACACCGCCCUUUGGAGGCGGGUUUCUAGGUUCGAAUCCUAGUCCGGGAA
rnacentral:tRNA from 1 species